GUUUCCUGCAAACAGUGUAGGACACUCAGCUACUACAGUAUCACAUCUGCCUGCACCCCACCAUGUUCCCAGUCAUGGUGGUAAUGGACUGAACCUCUGAAACUUGGCUGGAAUGAACUCCAUGUACACUUUGCAAUCUCAGGAUCCAGCACCAGACACGAGCAACUAUCAGGAUCAUUCCUCAGGCUGCCAUAUAGGAUCCAGUCUAGCUUCAAGAAUAUCCAGAAUUUUCUACAUGAAGAAGAGAAGUCUUACCUUUGGAGGUUGGAGAAUGAAGAAGAACAGGUGCUGAGGAGACUGAAGGGCUAUGAGGCCAAUCUACAGCAGCAGUAUGAGAAAAUUGACAGGAACUGGAGGCAAAAUGUCAGGGCUCACCCAGAAAAAUACUACAGGUAAAGGUGUGGGCUAGGAGUUGGGAAAGAAGGCAUAUGAUUAACGAGAAGACAAUGGUAAAGUAUCCCGACCUGCAGGACGUCAACCUGGAGCAAGAGAGUCAGGGAUAGGGAAUGGGGACAAGAGACGCAGAAAGAACGACCACAAGACAGGAUUCUGAUCAAGUGGCAAACUUUAUUUUUCUCUCAGGCUAGCUUAUACAGUCAACAGAGCAGGAUAUGGGGAGGGGAAGAAUGGGUUGUUUGUGAGCCAGGUGUUAGUGUAGGUGGGAUUUUAGGAAGCCACUAAGAGGAUGUUUGGCAGGGUAAAGAAUUUAUGAGUAAGAGGUCCAGGAAGGGUUGCUUAGGUGACUGAGCCUGUGGGUGGAGGACUGGGUCAGGUUGUUUCUUUUCUUGAGCUGAGGUUCGAAGGAGCUGCUAUGUAAGGGUUAACUAUGUGGCCUGCCAAGCCCUGAGAUUUGGCUCCCAACAGUAAAGGAAUAUGGAGAUUGGUGAGGCCUACCUCCACUCAGAAUGGCAGUAAUAUUGGAGUGGGAAGUUUAGGGUCAUGUUUGAGUAGCAUCAGAGUGACUUCCACUAGGCUACAGGAUCCUUUAGGUUAAUUAGAAAAAUUCACUUUCUCUGGCUGAACAUGGAAUAACUAAAUGGGAUAAUUUCUGCCAUCUUGCUCACAUUAGCUUAUCCACUGAGGUAUCUGAUAGACUUAUUCUUAAAAUCUUCUUCCAAGUGACAGAUUGUGACAGUGUAGACACAUAAGAGAAUAAUACCAACUCCACGACUUCCUCUAGGGUUCCUGAUCCAGAACUUACUCACAGCUGUAUGAUUGAUGUGUCCCUUCCAUCAAAAUAAACAUCUGGAGCUCUGAGUUCUCCUUCCUCUGCUGGGGCUGCUGGUUACAGCAUGAGGUUAAGAAUGGUGCACCUAGCUCCACUCCACUACGAUAGCUUCUUUUCCAUUUCAGUGGCCCAGCCUCAGGAGCUGUGCAUGGAUCACUAGAGACUUGUGUUACUAGUUAUCUCUAAUGAGAAUUCUCUAUGAAGGAGAUUUAGUCACCGAAAGCAGUCUUGCCAGAGGAAGGAUGAGCAAAGACAUUAAUUCGAAUUCCAAGAAGUCCACACUGUAGGUCUUACAGGUCAACAAGCUUCUACAAUAGAGAAGCAGGCUCCUACUUUAUUGGCCAGAGACUGGAUGUAAAACACCCCUCGGUGUCCAUCUUAUGGGGCGGUAGGUGAUUCUUAUUCCUUCUGUGAGAGUUUUUUCAGAAAGUAGCUUCAUGUGGAAAACUCCAUGAGACCUAAUGUAAAUACAAUCCCCUGCUUUUGUUUAUUCACAGGGUGUGAAAAAUACUUUGAGCAGGUAAGUCUUGCAUGAACACCCAAAAGAAGGGGUCAGGGCAUAUACUGCUGACUGGAAUACAACACUGAGGAAAGCCCCGUCUUCUGUUUCUCCUAGGUGUGAGGCUAUGAACCUAGAAACACUGAAAGUUGAUUUCCUGAAGGUUAAUAUGACAUGUAAUGUUUCUGAGCUUUACUUUGAUGUGGAGACACUGGUAAGACACCACCACGGUAGGUGUGUGAUCUAUGGCUUGGAGGAUCUUACACAGGAGACAGUCUCACCUCCUGCUGCAACACCUCCUCACUUCUAUUUUUUUUACACUUAUCUGUGGGUACAAGAACAAAUAUUUAGAUUGUAGUUAGAGACUGUGUUGGUUUAGUAAGGUGUGAUUGUGGGUUCCCCUCCAAGAUCCAUGAAUUCACUAACACUGAGUAGCUGGCUGAGUUUCCAGUAACCAGGCAUAGUUUCCCCGUUGUUGAGUGGGUCUUAAGUCCAAUUAGAGAGCUGUUGGUUACUACCAAGGUGUGUGUACCACUACUAUUCCCUUGUGGUUACUGUGUAAUGUUGGUCAUUGUUCAGAGGCAUCAUAGCUGGGUAGGACUGUUGGUUGCUUCCUUCAUUUGGAAGCUUUCAUGACACCUCUGGUACCAUGAAAACUAGUCCUUAGGGAGGAGGCAGUCGGGUCAGUUGCAGACAAGAGGCCUCUGAUCCCUGUGUCUGAAGUUCAUGGUGUCUUCAACAAUAGGGACUUACCUUCCACCUGUAAGGGCAAUAGCAAUAGGCUGUAUGUUCUGGAAAUCUCUUGAUCUACCCUGACCAGCAACUCAAGAGCUCUCAUGUCUGGAAUUGUGGUUUUUGUUAGACCAUUUUGAAUCUUGAAGGAAACAUUGUCAAUCCAGAUGAGAAAAGUUCACUCAAACUAUGUAUCUAUUACUUAUGCACAGAAUUACUUGUUUUAAAAUUAAAGAUAGUUAAUAGUAUGACUCCUUUUGACUUUCGUAAGACCUCCUUACUGUUAUUUUGCCAUCCUCCCUCCUUCUUCUGGAUUUACCUCCCUCAUUCCACGCCAAAGACCCCCCUUUCCCUUUUCCCCAAUCAGAUCACUUAUACAGUACUAUUCUCCUCUCUAUUGCUCCCUAACACCUCCCCAUCCCAGAAAUGGUCCAUUUUUAAUUUCCUGGUUUCUACAGUUGCUCCAGGAUAUUACUCACAUCUGAAGAUCUGGUUGCUUGCUUUUCGAGGAG
ensembl:lncRNA